UAUGACACACAGUUUUACGAAAAAGAAGACGGAAGCUUGGAUUUCAGCAGCACAAGCUCAUGUUUCCAGUUGUUGAAUCAAGAUAACUUAGAUUUAAAUGAAGUUCAUGCCAUUUUACGCGACACCUCCAAUAAUGAACUCAAAAGAGUUUAUGACAAGUAUCAAGUUGCAUCUGUUCAGCGCUGUGCUCCACAAUUGUUACGAGCAGAAGUUAAAUGGUCCCAAAUCGCCGUGCUAGGAAUAGCUUGUUUUAUUGGCAUAGCUGCACUGAUAUCCAUUUUUGUUUUAUGCUGUGCAUACAACAGGUAAAUUUCCCUUGUACUCUUAUUUUAACAUAAAACGUUCCUCGCAAUGAGUUCUUUCCGAUUUGUACUUUUAUAAGAGCUGUGCAAAAAGUAAAGUAAUAGAAUUCAGAGCAAACUUUUCAAAAAGUCUCUCUUCUGAACACUAAUCAUUUAAUGUUGUGAGAAUCAUACCAAUAAUUUAAAAUCAAUUCCAUUUGUUUUUGUAUUUUCGGUUUUACAUACUACGAAAAAUAGGGGUGACAGUCUUUUCUGUGGUUUUUGGAAAAUUUUUGGCUGAUAAUUACAAAGAAUGUUUCAUCAUGCUAAAAUGCAAUCAC
rnacentral:lncRNA from 1 species